GACCGCACCAAUUUCUUUCUCUGCGUCGCAUCUGCGACCCAAGCGCGGUAUUCAUAGACUCAGGUUUCACGCACGUUUCGCACGGUUUCAUCAAUUUGCUAGGCCUUUUUGCACUAGUCUGUGAAGUGUAGCCCGUUAUGACAGUGCAGCGCGCGUCGCUUGCAACGCGGGAGUUUGCGCGAGUUCUGAGAAUGCGUACUGCUGACCGUGUAGUAGCCGUGCAAGCUGUUUGGGGGAGUGGCGAUGCUGCGCUUGAUUGCAACAAUUAGCCUAUCUGGCCAAAGAAAACUAAUUACAAUCGAAGUCUGGACGGUUGUCGGAAUAGGUUAGUAGACUUGUUGCAUCCAUUUCGUACCAGCGCCUUGGCUGUGCGCUGCAUUUCCUGGCUGAAAAGGCGUAGCAGUGUAGUACUAGCUGCGACACAUGUUAGUGCGGUAAAGACGACUGGAAAAAAAAAAAAAAUAGCCAUUGUUGCAGCUGCAUUUCUUUAAAAAGAGAGAGAGAGAGAGAGAGAGGGGCUUAAGAGGAAGCUUUAGCUCGCGCCCAAUUCCGGCGCGGCCUAUUCAAGUACAUGUUAAACGCAAAAACGCUUUUCUAAGAUAACCCUUGGACCGGUUUUAAUGAAAUUUGUUGCAUUUGAGAGAGAAAGUUAAAUUCUAGUGACCGUUUGUAGCGGAAUUUCGAUUUAAGGCCUGAAUUUUGUGAAAAGAAUUCUCGAAAAUUUCGAAGUUCGAAAAAACAUAGACGCACGAAGUGUGUAAAUUAAUAGCUCUGCAUCAAGAACAGAUAUUGCGGUUCUGUAAACUGCAUCCAUUAGAUUAUUCAAAGAGGACAAAUUCGAUAGGUCAAUUUAUAUCUUACGUGAAUUUGUUACGCUCUGUACAAGGGUUCUGCAAAAGCUGUAUUUCCACAUUACUGAAUAUUUUUAGAUUCAUGUGUAACAUAUCAAUUUUGUCUGCUUUAGUUGUACUAUCAUAUGCAACUCAUAGAAUUGGGAUAUCAAGUUUUCUUGCCGAGUUAGUCAUAAACUUGAUAGUUUCGUUUUCUGAAUAUUUCCAAUUUUUGCCAAUUUUUAAUAAAAAAUUGACGACUUAAAUAAAAAGUUCGAAACUAACAGCCGCUAGAUUUUGUUUUUCUUAUAAAUGCAACAAACGUCAUCAAAUUUGGUGCAGUGGUUGCCAAGAAAACAAAUUCUCCUUUUAUAUGUAUUUAGAUAGGUGCACCCGAGCUAAAGCUUGCUCUUAAGAGAGCAUGCCCGCAGCUGCAUGCCCUCUUCACCUCUCUAAGGGCCACGAGAAGCGCAUGUUUGGAUGCAUCAUCGCCCACGGCGCUCUCAAGUAUACUUAACGCAUAAAAAGCACACAAUGUUAUGCAUGGCUUGAAUGUUCCUUGAACCCUCCUUAGAAAUUUCCAGUUUCAUUGAUGCGUGCUUUCUCAGGGUGCUCUGUAGCAUCCUUGGAUGGUGCAAACAUCGACGUGCAUAGCUUUACAUCUGCUAUUAGCACAAACCAUAGCUCAAAUGGCCACAAUACACAGCCUCCAUGUGUUUGCAUUGCUACCAAUGGCAAGAGUCCAUUCUCAUUGUUUUUGUGUGUGUCAUCUGUGCUAUUGGAGCACUGGUGCAUCAUCUGCUACUUAUCUGUGUGUUACAUGGAUCGUGUUGGUGACAGCUCUGUGCACAUGGAAAUCAACAUCCAGAACUAUAAAAAUGUGAAAAUGUUCGAAUACUAAAUGCAAUGAUUGGACAUUUCUUUCCUCAUACAUAUACGAGAGUUCACUUUUUAUGUCGCUCCAUGCACAAAUGCAAUAGUUUGCAUGUCUUAGGGCAAAUAGUGUUGAUCACUGAGCACCCCACUUGUGCGAGAGCAGUGGAAGAUGGCUGAUGAAAGAAGUUAUCUGUCUGAAAAGAAUGUAAAUGUGAAUACACCAGCAGAGGCUGCAGGCAAGGUGUUAAGAGGAUUUUUUGUUGCAGUUUGCACUGUUGAAAACUGUGCAAAAUGCAGGACAAGAGGCAGGUACAGCUAUGUGUCAGUCUCUCAUUCUUGUCUUGUGUUUUCCACUGUUUUUUGUUUGGGGCACUCUGGACACACAGGCAUGUCUAGAGCAUGGAUGCAGUUACAAUUUUGGCGGGUGUCUACUGCUCAUUGCCAUAGUUUGUGCAAGUUACAUGAGAAAUUGGAUUUGGCAUAGCUAUAAAACAAGCUAUAUUUGGUUUGAUGAAAACAUAAAAGCAAGAUGGAGCAGUGUCACCCAGUGGUAGCCUGCUGCUCUUUGUGUAACACCUUACUUUAAUGGUAACAUGAACACACUGUUUUGGUGGUCUGUUUCAAGACGCAUGCAGCACAGGGUUUUAAGGUGACAGCCCAAGCAACAGGAUACAAGCGAGUGCUUCAUUAAUGCCAUGCAUGAGGUAGAAUUGUAUUCUCACUGUCUGUGCAAUGUUUGGGCCUAAAGCUGCCUUGAUAGGGCAACAAGCAGUACUUGAAGCUCUGUAGGAGUACGAAGUGUCAUUGCUGUAUGCAGACAUGCUGGCAUUGUCAGGUGCUGAGGAGAACCAAACAUUUCUUGAGCAGUUACAUGCCGUGCUGACCUUGCUCCACUAAGCAUGAGCAUUCAUUUCUGUGGCUUGGAACAUGUAAUUCUGAGCUUUUCAAUUUUCUGCAGGUUCAAGACCGCAAAGUAUUUUAGCAAAUUGAACAAUUGGGCGAGUUAACAUUCAUUUUUGAAACUGGGCAAAUGGGAUGAAAGAUGCAAGAAAUACAAAGUAUCUUUCCCUGUUUUUGGUUAGGUUCAACACCUCAUUGUAUCUUCUGUGGGAAAUUGGUGGAGAAAGAGUUAAAUAUCCAUUGAAAACUUUGCUGCUUUCCAUAACUGCUGUGUGCAAUACCCCAUGAUGCUCUUCAAAUGAUUUGAGAGGCCUCAGAAGUCCUUGCAUAUAUCGGGUAGUGGAAAAAGAUUACAAUUUGCACUUUUGGUCUGAACCUCUUGGAAUGGUGGCAUUGCUUCAUCUGACUGCUAGCCUUGGACAGUGCCUCUUGAACCUCGAUGCCAUAUUAUUUGCACUAUGUAAGCUCCCUUUGUCUACAAAACUUGCAUAUUUCCAGGAUCGUAUAUGUCAACCAGUAUCUCGCAAAAUGUGUGUACAUGCAAGAGAGAAAGGUUGCUGAUAACUGAAGAGGUUAGCUUUGUGUCCGGCUUGCAUGCUACUGUUCAGAUAAACACAGACUUGGGAGGAUCUCGACUAUAUUUUUGUUUUCAGCCAAAAUGCUAUAUGAGGUGGGUAAAUGUCUCUGUAAAAAAUAUUCAACCUUUGUUUCGCAAGGCACAGCACGGAUUUCGAGAAAAGUUUUAAAAUUGAUUUAAGGUGGAAAAGGGAAUUGUUGCAACUUCCAGAUUUUAUAUUUGAAGACCUAUUACUCUAAAACCAAUACAUUGUACGCCACCAAACAUUUUCUCAGCAAUAUUAAACUAUUAGCACUACCGGCCCAAGGAAAACGAGUGAAUUCCAUGAGAGAUCGAAACGGGUGGUAUAUUUGACAUUAUGAAUUUUUCUGAUAAUGUUGCACAUUACGCACAUGUGACUGUGUACUGUUAAACUGCUAGUUGUAUUUAAAGAAAGCUAUUAGUAAACAGACAAAAAAUUGUGAAAGGUUGUCAAGAGACGACGAAAAUGUUGUGAAAUGUCUUCUUUCUUUUUAAAUAUUUGUGACGAUCCUCAAGGGUAGCAAGUAUAAUACAGCAAAUAUCUAUAAUAUAUAAUAUAAUAUAUAAUAUUAUAAUAAUAUAUAAUAUAAUAUAAUAUUUGCUGUAUAUAAUACAGCAAAUAUAAGUAAAGAGGAUGUAGGUCGCAGCAUUUUUAAGACCUGUGAACAAAGUAACAUUUUAAAAAAAAUUCUCGAACGCUAAAUUUUUCAAACUUGCUCAUCUUUGGGCCUCUGUUGUUACUUCUCUGUACCUCCCAGCUUGUUAUGAUUUACAGCAGAGAUAGGCCUUUAGCUAGAUAACAAACCUCCUCAUUUAAUUGUUUUUUUUUACUCAUAACAUCAACAUUGCAAAAAUUUUACUUACUUAAAAAAAAUACCUUAUUUAUGUUUAUACAUAAAAAAAAGUGUCAAUCUCGUUCAACGUUGCCUAAAUUGUCCUCUGAGGACUGCGGAAUAUUAUGAAAAAAAAAAAAAAAAAACAGCUUGCAUCCUUUUUAUUGGAACAAUAUUACAAAUGUUCGAAUAUUGUGUUUUGAGAGAGUGGUUCAUAGUGAGGAAAUCAGCAGUUCUUGCAAAAACGUACAUAAUACGAGGACAGGCCUUCUCCUCUUCUGAGCUUUGUCAACAGCAAAUAAUGAGGUAUUUGCGAUUGGUGGAAAAUGUUUUCGAAAAGAAAAAAAAAAACGUUUGAACGAAAUGCACUCCCACAGUUCGUCGCUUCAGUACAGCGGCCAAUAUUCCUUGUCAACAAGCAGCACACCCAGUAGUGGUUUUCCUUCAUCAGAUUGUGUGGAACAGAAUUCAUGUCUUGGAUGCUAACGAAUGCAUUCACUCAAUGAGUGGGUUGCAUUGUCACACUAUUCCAAAAUUAAAAGGUUGUUAUGACAGGCAAAAGUAAUUCAUGCUACCAGAUAAAGUAUUCAUUUUCGCACCAGAUGGAAUUAACCAGAGCUUAAAAAGUCUCGAUUAUAUGAUGUUUGGUGGCAGGAUUUUUUGCCACACACAAAACAUGUUUAGAGUAAGCCAUGGCUAGUCUGCAUAGCCAAACAUGCCUUGGAUCACGAGUUCCCACUCCUUCCUUUUUUCAUCACGGAAGUAUUCAAUCUCUUACAAGUGCAUGAAUCAGCUAGAUGUUCUCGAGCUUUCCUUGCAAUUGUGCAACCAUUUCAGUUGCUGACUGUACUAUACUUCUGUCACAUGGGUAAACUUAAGCGGACUUCGCUGCUAGUGACACUUACUGCAGAGUGCACUCGUUGGCGAGUGUGUUCGGUGAACACACUUCACGGUGGCAAAGUGUGUAGCCUCGUUAGCAGUGACCAAAAAUAAGUAAAGUAAUAUUGAAAGCAGAGUCAGGAAUAAGUUUUAAUAUUAUUCUUUUGAAAUUGCUAAUGUUACAAGGUAAUAAAAUGUGCCACACACACACACACACAAAAAAAAAACAGCACAUAACUACUCUCGCUCUCAGCCUGUUUACAUAUACAUGCUUUGCCUUCUGACUCCCGACCGCCAUCGCCACCAAUUUGAAAGAACACCCUUUCUUGUGCAGCAGCGUGCUGCCAAAAUGACUCGGCGUGCUGAGGUGCACUUUAGUUUGCUCAUGUGACAGGGGUAUUACUUUGCCGUUUCCUGCCCGUAUGUUGUGAAGAGAAGCUUGAUGCUUGACUCCUUCAACUUCGUUGCAUGUUCUUCCUUUUUCCAGAGAAGAGCCACUUUACUGACUCAUAAUUUUUUUGUGAAAGCUUGUACAAUUGAAAUUUAUUUUUGAAGUAACUUGCGGCGCUGUAAUGUACGUUGGUGGCGUGGCUUUGUAGGGGGACUUCAAGGCACUCGUGGAUCUUGCUUAAUGCAAACCAAGAUCAGGCUGCGUUGUGCGACAUGUCAUCGCUUAUAACAGCGUAACUGCGUGUUCUUUUGGCGAUUACAAGACCCGCCGUGGUUGCUCAGUGGCUAUGGUGUUGGGCUGCUGAACACGAGGUCGCGGGAUCAAAUCCCGGCCACGGCGGCCGCAUUUCGAUGGGGGCAAAAUGCGAAAACACCCGUGUACUUAGAUUUAGGUGCACGUUAAAGAACCCCAGGUGGUCGAAAUUUCCGGAGUCCUCCACUACGGCGUGCCUCAUAAUCAGAAAGUGGUUUUGGCACGUUAAACCCCAUAAUUUUUUUUUUUGGCGAUUACAACGAAGGUGAAAACUGACGCUUCUUUUUUUUUUUGUGCCGGUGGUAGGAUUGAAUCUCAUUAAAAACAUUGGCAGUCCAGUUUUCGGCGAAGUCAAAAUGCAGAAUGAGAGAUGCUUGCCACUUGGAUUGUUUUGCUUCACUAAUGGUUGCAGCUUGUGUCUGCCAUAUAUAGCUCUACAGAACCCACUUGGAGAUCCACUUAGCUAGUUUCUUCACAAACGAAGUCGGCUGUGAUGUUUUCUUUAUAUUCUCUCCAUUUUCCUACACUGCGUAGUUGAGCUCAGCCUCAUGGGAGGCCUCCAAUGUUCUUGUAGUUACUCAAUCGCUCAUACGAGACAGUUCAGUCGCCUAGAUGGCAUAGUAAAAUAUUUAGCGCGCACAAUCGACAAGGACACAGUGAAGGGGGACACACGAACGCUUACUCGCAACUAUUUUAUCUUCGGAAAGAUACAGAACAUAUAUACCCGAGCUAUCAGCACUGAGCAUGUGCAACAAGAGUGGUCAGUAAAACAGAAACAGAUUAAAAACAGAUUAAGAAGGUUCAUCCAGUAUUUAAAAAAGCAAAUUCAUUUUCAGUGAAUACAACCGAUAGUUGGCUUAUGCAUUCUUUAGCACACUUUUUGAUAUGAAAUGCUUCUGUGAUUUCACGUGUUAGUUUGUUUUUAUCUGAAAACAAAAUGUCAGUGUUAAAAUAUACCGGAUCACAAUGACAUAGAUUACAGUGGUUCGACAAGUGUGAAUGUUUUUUUUUACAGAGAGAACGUGCAUGUUCUUUUAGGCGGGUGUUUAUGCACCGACCGGUUUGUCCUAUGUACAUGUUGCCACAGGUCAACGGAAGCCGGUACACAACACCUAUUCUGCAUUUUGUUAAUUUUUGAUAGUCUUUUAGGCCGCAGCUGCAUUUUUUACCCUAUUGUCUAACUUAUUGGAAAUAGCUUGGCACAAUUUUUGCACCUUGUUAGGAGCGCUGAAAACCACUUCAACGCCAUACCGGCUGGCAACAUUCUUUAGCCCAUGGGAAAAAUAAUUGACGUAAGGUACAACUGCAAGGCGCUUUUUGUUUGUGCUAAGCCUGUUCCUUAAAUCUGGGGGUUGUACACCCUUUACUAUAUUUAUUACCUUUUCGGCUGCUCCGACUAUAAUGUGUUCCGGGAAUCCCACCGAAGCUAGUCUUGUUACCUGAUUGGCAAAGCUUUCUUUUAUUCGGUGGCAACAAGAUUUGACUAAAACGGCCCGAAGGCAAGACACCGCAAUUCCGCUUUUUAAAAUCUUCGAAUGUCUUGAUUUGUGCUGUAAUAUGGGCUUUUUUGAUCUAGGGCUGUACAUCCAGCAUGUGUGAUCAGGUAGUAAUCGCAGAGAAAGAUCUAGAAACUGUAGUUCGUUUUCUUUAGCAAUCUCAUGGGUAAACUUAGGCCUAGGCCACAGUCAUGGAACACUUUCAGUACAUUAACCACAUUACAGCCAUGUUCAUUCCCAUCAAAAAUAACCAAAAAAUCAACAAAUUGGAAACUUUUUGCCAAGCUUCCUAAAGCACUGUGAAUACUUUUGUCUACACGAGCUAGAAAACUGUCGCUUAGUAUUGGCGCUACCUUGGAACCUAUACAUAUACCUGAUUUUUGCACAUACAUUGCUUCAUUCUAACCGACAAAGGUAGAACUAAGAUAAAAAAAUAGUAUUUCCAUAAAGCUUUCCACGGGUGCUCCGCUGUCAUUUCAAAAUUUACUUUAUCAUUAUCUUCGCAAAUACACAUUUUAACAUUUUUUAACAGCUCUGUGUGCGGAAUCGAGUAAAAUAAAUCUUGUACGUCAACACUGAAGGCGCUGCAUCCCUUUGUUUUGUUUUCCCUCAAAUAUUGUACAACAGCCUCAGAAUUACAGAUUGCUAACGGAUUGGGGAUUCUUAACGAGGAAAGCUGUUUCUGGAUGAACGAUGCUACCUGCUGCUGCCAAGUGCUUCUUUCAGUAACAAUGGCUCCGAAUGACUCUCCAGAUGCCCCGACAUGUAGCAGUUGCAUAUAGCAGUGGCAUGCUGCAUGUAGCUGGACCUGGUUAAACCAAGCAAGUUAGGUGGCUAUUUGUCACCACCCCGUUGGAAGAGGAUGUCAAUAAACCAUCUUUAUCAUCAACAGCAACAUACCAUGUCACGGGUCAAGGGAUCUGACAUGUGCGCCACGUAGCCUGGAUAUACUUGAAACCGCCUGCUUCUUGGCCUAUUCCCCCUAUUAGGCCUGUACCAGCAUUUGGACACGAGACCUGUGUUUACUCUUCGGUACACGUUAUGCCACCUCCUGGCAAGGUACAAACUGCCGCUGAAGUGAAUCGUAGAGUUACACGCGUGGCUUCAACCAAGCAACAUCGGGCUCAGAGGACUGCUGUGAAAGCAGGACAAGCCGCAACUUGCCGUCAACGCUGGGCGGACAGUUCAGAUUGUUCUCAUGAAAACGCCGUGAAGACACUGUAGUGCGUGGUGCCGAAAAUGGAGCUCCUAUGGAGCCACUCCCCCAGCUUACACUGUGACUGUGCUGUGUGUGCUUCGCAGGCCUGGGAUUUUUUUUGUGUAAACUUUUCUUUGUCAUUGAGGAACACGACUUGGGGGCCUCAAGGGUGAAACAUAGAUAAACUCCAUUUGCCUGUUCAGCUCACCGACUGUCUCUUCCUUGGGGACAAAGACGUCAUAGGUAUCACCAGAGUCGGAGAAGGCUAAGACCAAAUCCUUAUACCACUUGAAGCAGUGUUGACAGAUCUUAUCUCCAUAUGUAAUUGGACACGCACCUUGACUUAAGGCCUUCCACAACAGAGAUAUCAACAUCUUCAACACCAUGGAAAUUUUGCUGGAAUGGAAUUUUCUUGUGCACCAUCAGGUAGUCGGCACAAAAGCUGUCUGUAAGGCCUAACCAUAGCUGCCUUCCAAGCGUAGGAUGGUCAAAGAACCAAAAAUAAGCGUGCUUUCAAAGCCUUAGUGCUAUAUCCCGCCCAGGCAACCUCAUCAGUUUAUGCAAUUGCGGAGGUACCACGCCCCACCCUCACUCACUCCGACUGCUGUAAUUCAAGUGGCUGUAUCCGGUAACCUGGGCCAUGCCAAAUAAAGAGUUCUACACGACAACACAAAGCUUAGAAAUUUGUCACAGUGCUUGGCUUACUGGCAGAGCUGUGUACCUCACUGCCUCUUGCACACAUACGCAUUUGUCAUUUGCGCCUUGGCAUCGUCUGAACGGGCACACAGACACGCUGCAGAAGGCAAACAUUAUCCCUCUAUUUCGAUAGCUUUCAUUUUGGCACAUUGCUAGGAAGAAAAAAAUGGAGAGCUGUAAAUGUGCUCGUUGCCUGUUGACGAGGGAUAUUCGCCUCUGUACUGAAGUGACGAACUACACGAGUACAUUUUGUUGAAACAGUUUUUCUUUCCGAAAACAUUUGCCACCGGCUGCAAAACCUAAUUUUUGCCGUUGAUAAAGUUCAGCAAAGGACGCAUGUCCUUCUAUUAUAUUUUCUCAAGAAAUGCUGAUUUCCGCACUAUGGACCACUCUGUCCAAACACAAUAUUCGAACAUUUGUAACAUUGUUCCAAUGAAAAUGAUGCAACAUGUUUUUUCAUAGUAUUAUUCUGCAGUCCUUGGAGGACUAUUUAGGUGAGCUUAAACGAGAUAGAGAGGUUUUUUUUAUAUAAAGUUUUUUCAGCAAAGUAACAUUUUUCUAAUUUUUAUGUUCUGAGUAAAAAAUUUCUUUAAAAAUUAGAAUAAAAAUGCACAGGUUUGUUACCCACCUAAAGGCCUAUCUCCGCUGAAGAUCACAGGCUGGGAUGUAUAGAGCAAUUUUGCGCUUUGUCUGAGUUAAGAUUUUUUUAUCUGAAACAGACGUAUGUGGGAAAAGUAGUUUCGGUUCCAUUGUGUGGAAGGGUGUUUCUGCGUAAUAUAAUUUCAGUUAAAAUAAAUAUUUUGACUCAAUUUGUGACUGUCCUUCUCUGAACACACCCAGCUGACUCCUCCACUGCAGUGGUGUCGUGCUUUCCCCCUAGGCUGGUGCAUCGGUCAUUAUAAAUGAGAGCAUUUCAGAUAAUAGGUGUAAAUAGUAAUUUCAGCAGUAGUUUCCCUAGACCAGCCUUAAACAGCUCGAUUCGUGCACUCCCGCAUGCUUGCUACCUUAAUAUAUCGUAGGAACAGUACGGAUACCGGAGCCAUGAAAACCCAAGCUUAAGUCAUUUCAUGGCUCAGAAGAGGCAGAAAAGACAAUCUGAGCCACUUUUGUUUAUUACCACAAAAUAAUGAGCUCUGAAUGCAAUAUGAUUGUAAUUUCGAUUUUAUUAUUGGAACUACACAGAUCAUAAGGAUCACCGCACAGGGUUCUAAAAAUAGGCUUAAUGUUUCUGCUUAAAAUAAAAUAAUGCAGCAUGUUUCUGCAGUACAUGAUUUAUCAGUUCUGCGAGUGCAUUCUGUGAAAUUUUAUUUGAAAUCGCCAAAUAUUGUUAACACCCUUCAAAUUGGCCACUUCUCACUACUUACUAUGCAAUUUUGGCAUCUUACUAAGAAAUAAAUAUGCAAUGCAGCUGCACACUUUUUGUGUUAUUUUACAAGAAAGUAUUUAAAGAUUUGUCUGGAAGUAUUUCAGCUUCUUUGCCUUGGCUAAAAUGGCCCCAAAAAGCUACUGAUUUCAGGGUCAAUGAGAGAUGCUUGGUCAAAAUGCAAAGUUUGGUGCUUAAAAAAAAAAAAAAAAACUGUAGGUGGCAUAAGUUUGUUUCCUUGAGCCAGUAGUUUGAGAUUUAAAAAUACAAAAAAAAUUUUUCGCUUGAAAUCAGCGUUGCAUCUCACAAAACAAAGGUUGAGUCCUUUCUAGAGACAUUUGCCCACCGCAUAAAAUUUUUGCUGAAAACAGAAAAUUGUCGGUAACCCCAUAAGCCUAUCCUUAUCCAGUGUGGGAAUGCUGUGCCAAUUGCGCCAGCCUGCGCCAUUUCAAUGAAGCUGCAACAUGCUACACCAAAAGUGUUUUUUUUUUUUGUGUGAAAUUGCACCAAAGCUGCGCGAAAAUGAGCCGUCAGCAACAUGAGAUGCCCGGAUUGCCGCUCUAUGCGAAAACUGAGGUCUUUGUUUUGCCAUUGUAAUCCAGUCCGAUCCAGUUCUCAACCUUCGUCUUUGAUGGGAGAGCGACUGAGUGAGGGCGUCAGUGGUGUGGCCAAUGAGUGCUAUUGCCACGCUUUCACUACAUUCAGGAAAGCACCACUUCCACUCUGGGCGACAGCAGUGUUGCGAGAAGCUGCAAGGUCCCUGUGGCGGUUGUCCAGCGUUACAUUGUGACCUUGGCAUAUAGCCAGGCAGUCGAUUCUGUUGUUCAUCCACAUCCAGUCCCGGGAGUCUUCAAGAGAAUCAUUCAGAUAUCUUGCGAAAUAUGCGCCUCGAGUGAUACAACCUAGCCAAGUUUCAUCUCUCCUUGAUGAGGUGACAAUGUUGAGCUCUGAAGUGCUGAUUGAAGGCACUAAUGGGCCACUACACAAAUACUGGAAUAAUAUUUUUGUCAUCGAGAGUCCCCAAGGAGGGGCAAAAUAUCCACUUUUGACUAAGCUUGUCAAGGCACUUCUUUUCCUUCUGCAUGGGAAAGCUGAUAUUGAGCGAGGCUUCAGCCAGAACACAAAGAGUUUUGAAUGAUAGGUCAAGCCUUUGUCUGGCAAGCGUAAAUGGCGUUCGUCACAUACUGUCCUUUGCCAAAAGGUACAAGAGUGACCCAUGCAAGCUUUCCUUUGGUCCAGAUGUAAUAACAGCUGUUAGAGGCGCAUCGAAACGGUAUGCUGAGCGCAUUUUCAUUGAACAAGAGACAUUGAAAAGGCUACGUGCUGAUGUGGAACCAGUGCCCAGCUUGUCGAAAACACAAGCCAAACAAAAGGUGGCUGAAGCAGAGCACAUGUUUAGAAAUGCUGAAUUGCUCAUUCAGCAAGGCAUGAAGCUGAACUUUACUGAUAUUGAGAGUGGCCAAGCAUUAUUGAGCCUAGCUAGAGAAAAAUGAGUGUUAAUAUAUCUAAUCUCAGUGCCUUUAAUAAGCGCUCAAAAAAGGAGUGUAGUGAUGGCCAACUGAAGUCAGUGUGAAAAAGCACAUAUCUAGUCUUGUUUUAUUUCCUGUGAUCCUUGUGGCAAAGGUUGUCAUCCAUCUUCAUCAUUGCUUUAAUUAAAAAGGCUGUUUUUUCUGUCAAAUGCAGCUUCAGUUGAGUGGCUGCUUUUGUUCACGCUAGUCCAUAAAUAAUUAUUACUUUGGUCUCACUUCUCUGGUUACUGGUUAAGUUUUAUUUUUUUCUUGCACUACAAUUACCAUGGCAGUAUUAAACAGUGCUAAUCAAUAUCUGCUUUGAUGUCUUCCUAUAGUGUUGCAUUUAUUUUUGCUCUGCAGAUCUCUGGGUAGAUUGUUUUUCUCCAGUUCUUAAACUGGGAUUUUGUUAUGUCUGUUUACUUGGAAUUGGUGCUAUGCAGUGUUAUGUAUUACUUUUUUUCUUCGGAAAAACAGUUCUAUUUCCGGAGUGAAUGUUUAUUUUUGGCUAGUUGGUUUUUUGCGCUUAUUGUGUGGUACUAUAUGUGUGUGAUGAUUUUUGCAAAUGAAAGACUGGUUUUUAAUUAAUUCUGCUAUAUCCAUGCUGUGAUACUCCAUAUUUUUUUGUUACCUGUAGUAUGUCAAAUGCCAGUUGCUGCAAUUUUUGUAAUGGCCACGAAAAGCCUAUUCCUGUUUUCUGGAAGUGCUGUAGGGACGUGUUUGUCAUAUCCAGGUUCAUUUUCUCUGCUGUCCUCUGGUUGAUGUAUUCUUUGUGAUAGACGAUACUUAUACAAAUAAAGGGCUAUAAGUUUUUCUC